rnacentral:rRNA from 1 species
UACGUAGGGUGCAAGCGUUGUCCGGAAUUAUUGGGCGUAAAGAGCUCGUAGGCGGUUUGUCGCGUCUGCUGUGAAAACUCGGGGCUUAACUCCGGGCCUGCGGUGGGUACGGGCAGACUAGAGUGCGGUAGGGGAGACUGGAAUUCCUGGUGUAGCGGUGAAAUGCGCAGAUAUCAGGAGGAACACCGGUGGUGUAGACGGCUCUCUGGACCGUAACUGACGCUGAGACACGAAAGCGUGGGUAGCAAACAGG